rnacentral:lncRNA from 11 species
CACAAGGAUGGUAAAAACAUCAAAAACAUCUGGGCGUCCCCUGGGCAACGUCCUUGCAGACGGCCAAUUCUCUCACUCCAGAAGCGACUCAAGUUGCUCCUGACACACACAAAAAAAGACAACUACUGUACAGUAGAUAAUAAAUUUUCAUUUUUUAAACAUUCAAACCAUAAAUGUGAAUUCUUCUUUGUGGAAAAAUAAGACAUCCCCUGAAAAUAAGACCUAGCGCAUGUUUGGGAGAAAAAAUUAAUAUAAAACACUGUCUUAUUUUCGUGGAAACAGGGGUAGCCAUACAGCCCGGAAAACUCACAGGCAGCAACCCGAUGAAAAUAUGCUUUUUUUUGUUUUGGUUUGUCUUUGUGCUUCUUUCUCCUUUAUUUCUGAAUAAUACUUGCAAGAAGGACUUGCAGCCUGACAUCUCGCCCUCCCUGCUCCUGAUUCCCUUUCUCCAGGCGGGAUGUUCCUGUGUCACAGCGAGGUUAUCCCUUCCCUUCCCUCCCGGGGCCUCCCUCCCUCUCGCUCGCUCGCUUCGCUUCCCCUCCUUCCAGCGAGAGGCGCAGAGCCCAUCCCGCCGCCUGCCUGCCUGCCUCCCGCCGUGGCCUCAGAUGCCCUUUGCAGGUUUAUGAUUACAGUAUGCCGUCGCGGCGGCUCUCCCGGGCCUCCUCCCCCUGCCUGCCUCCUCCCUUUCCCCUCCACGCCCCUCUCGCUCCCUUCCCUGCCCUUCUUUUCGGGGCUUGGCUGCUCCCUUCACUCUCCUGGGCCCCCCGCCUCUCUCCCUCCAACGCUCUGCUCUUGAUUACUGGUCUGGAAAGCAGCCGCCAGCAACCUGAGGCAUGUAGGAAGGACAGCAAGGGAGGAGGAAGGGAGAGUGGCUUUUGUCUAUUUAUCAUCCAAAGCUCACAGCCAGCCAGAAACACAUUCCAGUCAGCCAUGGGCCUAGAGGAUUUCUUAAGGACAAUCUUCCCAUCCCGAAGGAAGUCAAUCGCAAAAAGAAAGAGGACUCUGAAGGUCUAUUCCUGACACCAGCAAAUGGCUAUGGACACCAUUUCACCAAAAUCAAUUACCUCUCCUCUUUUUAAUCAUAACUCCUCAUUUGUAUUAAAUAUGGUGUAUUGGUGUUGAUGAGAUCAUGGUGUCAUAUAUCGGGAAUUGUUUGUGUGUAUAUCAUAAGAAGAAAACUAAGGGACUCUGAGCCUUGCUUUAGAGGAUUACAGUGGGGAAAAUGUGUACCAUAAAAACAGUUUUUAACCAUUCUGACUCAAGUAAAAAACUCAGAAAUUUCACACUGUGAAUCCAAGUUUACAAACAUUUACAGGUGGGCCUUCAGGCCUUGUUCUAUCACAGCAAUGUCUUCCACUACUCAAAACUCAACUGACUCCUUGCAACUGGUAACCUUCUGCCUCUCUAUUCCCCUGAUUCCAAACUGCUUCUCGCAGAGGCUGAGAGUCCCCUUUUAUUUCAUUUUAGAUGUAACAAGCCUAGUAGUUUAUUUUCAUCGAUUGUCUGUAUAUCUCUAUAUUUUAUCCAUGUACUCUUUUGAUGUAUAGAAGUAGUAUGAAACUCAUGGUUUCCUUGUGGUAAGUGAUUGAGAUGCUGCCACGGGAUUUGAGACACUGAUGAAUGGUGCUAUUUUGGACUUUAAACAUGCUCCUUGGCAAGGUAGCUCUGAUGGAGUUAUUUUUAAUUUCCAUGUUCUAAGAAGGUGUUGGUACUUUGUUCUCGUUCUUUAGACUGGACUGACUUGUUUCCUUGUGUCUUCAGUGUGGCUUUCUUAUUAGGUGUUGUAGGGUGAGUAAUUACUAAUAACAGCAAAUGAGGAACCAAUUCCCACCAGGUUAUGCUCACAAAUUUGCAAAUGGUAGCGGGAGCAAUCACAAAACUGUAAUUUACUACAAUUUCCCUUUCUGCCAUUCUGCUUGUAUCACCUGGAUAAAUAUAGCAAUAAUGUUCUUGUAGUCUUUUAGGGGUUUCCUUUUGUCUUUUCUUUAUUGAAUCAAUAGGAAGGCAUUAAAAACAAAAAGUAAGAGGUUAGUAUGUUUUAAAACAUCCUCUUAAAAAUGAAAAUAUUGGCCACUUUAAAAAAAAUAAAAGCAUAAUUGAUAGUUCUGUGGAAUGUGUAGAAAGCAAACUGUCUUUUGAGACAAUCAGUAUAAACCCACAGUUUCUCUAACAUGUGGAUUUUACAUUUUUGUCCUUGCUCCCAGGGAAUUAAGCAACAAAAUACAAAACAAACUUUACCAUCUACUCAUGGAAUGUUGUUGUGUUAGACACAGUCUGGAAGCCCACCUUAAUUUUUUAUAUAACUCUGUCCUUCGGCUCUUCCUUUUACUGGGCAGGCUUUGCUCUGCCCUGUUUAGCUUCUGACUGUUAAAAACCAAUGCAUGCACUGCAUUUCUUAGUUUUUCUUUCCCUCCCUUAUUCUUGUGCACUUUCUUCUGAUAGAUUAGAUUAAGUCAGUUGUGCUGUAUAUACAUAUAGCAAGAAACAGUAUUCGGCAAUUGUGGCAUUUAUGUAUAGUUGCAGUUGUGUACUGCUGAAAAUGCAGGCUUUUGUAACAGUGUGAUCUUUAAUAAUGCACUACAAGUACCCAAUGUAUUUCAGCUCUUUUAGUAGGAUUUGUUCAAUAAAUAUGCAAGCUCCAAGAGUAACAACAAUGUCAAUGGUCUUUUUUUGAAACUUUGCAUGCAAUUUUAUAUAUUUAAUUAGUUAUUUUACAUGCUUUAGGUUCUUUUUCAAAUGUAAUCAAAGUAGUAUACAAACACAGAUCAAAACAAUAUCAAUAGGACUCACAGAAAUUACAUGGCAUAAUUCCAAAUAAACAGCCAAACUCAAGGUCUGAUGCAAACAAGUCCAGACAAGAAGCAACAACUUUUUAUCAUCUUCUGCCAGUAUAAGGUGGCCACAGAUCAGGAGUGACUUGAAGGCACAUAACACAUCAUUGUAAAAUUAUAGGGCCAUUGCUAUAGACCCUGCUUCUGCCAGCUAUACUUCUGAUUUUCUGCACUUCUGAAAUACAGCCUGAGUAGAACACAGAGCAGGUGAUGGGUAACUUAAAAAUUGGCUCUCUUAAAAACCGACAUAUGAGGGUAUACAAAUAUGAUUGCCAACUUGUCUGGAUAUUCAGCAAAUGCAGAUUUUGUUUAUUGUUUCUAAUUUUUGGGAGCCUCUGGUGGAGCAAUGGAUUAAAUCAGUGAGCUGCUGAACUUGCUGACCGAAAGGUUGGUGGUUUGAAUCCGGGGAGUGGGGUGAGCUCCUGCUGUUAGCUUCAGCUUCUGCCAACUUAGCAGUUUGAAAACAUGCAAAUGUGAAUAGAUCUCGGGUGGGAAGGUAACCACGCUCCAUGCAGUCAUGUCAGCCAUAUGACCUUGGAGGUGUCUACGGACAACGCCGGCUCUUCAGCUUAGAAAUGGAGAUGAGCACCAA